rnacentral:rRNA from 1 species
AGAGUUUGAUCAUGGCUCAGAUUGAACGCUGGCGGCAGGCCUAACACAUGCAAGUCGAGCGGUAGCACAGAGAGCUUGCUCUCGGGUGACGAGCGGCGGACGGGUGAGUAAUGUCUGGGAAACUGCCUGAUGGAGGGGGAUAACUACUGGAAACGGUAGCUAAUACCGCAUAACGUCGCAAGACCAAAGAGGGGGACCUUCGGGCCUCUUGCCAUCAGAUGUGCCCAGAUGGGAUUAGCUAGUAGGUGGGGUAAUGGCUCACCUAGGCGACGAUCCCUAGCUGGUCUGAGAGGAUGACCAGCCACACUGGAACUGAGACACGGUCCAGACUCCUACGGGAGGCAGCAGUGGGGAAUAUUGCACAAUGGGCGCAAGCCUGAUGCAGCCAUGCCGCGUGUAUGAAGAAGGCCUUCGGGUUGUAAAGUACUUUCAGCGAGGAGGAAGGCAUUGUGGUUAAUAACCACAGUGAUUGACGUUACUCGCAGAAGAAGCACCGGCUAACUCCGUGCCAGCAGCCGCGGUAAUACGGAGGGGUGCAAGCGUUAAUCGGAAUUACUGGGCGUAAAGCGCACGCAGGCGGUCUGUCAAGUCGGAUGUGAAAUCCCCGGGCUCAACCUGGGAACUGCAUUCGAAACUGGCAGGCUAGAGUCUUGUAGAGGGGGGUAGAAUUCCAGGUGUAGCGGUGAAAUGCGUAGAGAUCUGGAGGAAUACCGGUGGCGAAGGCGGCCCCCUGGACAAAGACUGACGCUCAGGUGCGAAAGCGUGGGGAGCAAACAGGAUUAGAUACCCUGGUAGUCCACGCCGUAAACGAUGUCGACUUGGAGGUUGUUCCCUUGAGGAGUGGCUUCCGGAGCUAACGCGUUAAGUCGACCGCCUGGGGAGUACGGCCGCAAGGUUAAAACUCAAAUGAAUUGACGGGGGGCCCGCACAAGCGGUGGAGCAUGUGGUUUAAUUCGAUGCAACGCGAAGAACCUUACCUACUCUUGACAUCCAGAGAACUUAGCAGAGAUGCUUUGGUGCCUUCGGGAACUCUGAGACAGGUGCUGCAUGGCUGUCGUCAGCUCGUGUUGUGAAAUGUUGGGUUAAGUCCCGCAACGAGCGCAACCCUUAUCCUUUGUUGCCAGCGGUUCGGCCGGGAACUCAAAGGAGACUGCCAGUGAUAAACUGGAGGAAGGUGGGGAUGACGUCAAGUCAUCAUGGCCCUUACGAGUAGGGCUACACACGUGCUACAAUGGCAUAUACAAAGAGAAGCGACCUCGCGAGAGCAAGCGGACCUCACAAAGUAUGUCGUAGUCCGGAUCGGAGUCUGCAACUCGACUCCGUGAAGUCGGAAUCGCUAGUAAUCGUAGAUCAGAAUGCUACGGUGAAUACGUUCCCGGGCCUUGUACACACCGCCCGUCACACCAUGGGAGUGGGUUGCAAAAGAAGUAGGUAGCUUAACCUUCGGGAGGGCGCUUACCACUUUGUGAUUCAUGACUGGGGUGAAGUCGUAACAAGGUAACCGUAGGGGAACCUGCGGUUGGAUCACCU